rnacentral:rRNA from 1 species
GCAGCAGUAGGGAAUCUUCGGCAAUGGGCGAAAGCCUGACCGAGCAACGCCGCGUGAGCGAUGAAGGCCUUCGGGUUGUAAAGCUCUGUUGUUAGAGAAGAACAAGUACGAGAGUAACUGCUCGUACCUUGACGGUACCUUUCCAGAAAGCCCCGGCUAAAUA